rnacentral:rRNA from 1 species
GACGAACGCUGGCGGCGUGCUUAACACAUGCAAGUCGAGCGGUAAGGCCCUUUCGGGGGUACACGAGCGGCGAACGGGUGAGUAACACGUGGGUGACCUGCCCUCAGCUCUGGGAUAAGCCUGGGAAACCGGGUCUAAUACUGGAUAUGACUCCAUGACGCAUGUUGUGGGGUGGAAAGCCUUGUGCGGCUGAGGAUGGGCCCGCGGCCUAUCAGCUUGUUGGUGGGGUGAGGCCUACCAAGGCGACGACGGGUAGCCGGCCUGAGAGGGCGACCGGCCACACUGGGACUGAGACACGGCCCAGACUCCUACGGGAGGCAGCAGUGGGGAAUCUUGCGCAACGGGCGAAAGCCUGACGCAGCGACGCCGCGUGAGGGAUGACGGCCU